ACUCCUACGGGAGGCAGCAGUGGGGAAUUUUGGACAAUGGGGGCAACCCUGAUCCAGCCAUGCCGCGUGAGUGAAGAAGGCCUUCGGGUUGUAAAGCUCUUUCAGACGGAAAGAAACGGUUACAGAUAAUACCUGUGACUAAUGACGGUACCGUCAGAAGAAGCACCGGCUAACUACGUGCCAGCAGCCGCGGUAAUACGUAGGGUGCGAGCGUUAAUCGGAAUUACUGGGCGUAAAGCGUGCGCAGGCGGUUUUGUAAGACAGACGUGAAAUCCCCGGGCUUAACCUGGGAACUGCGUUUGUGACUGCAAGACUAGAGUACGGCAGAGGGGGGUAGAAUUCCACGUGUAGCAGUGAAAUGCGUAGAUAUGUGGAGGAAUACCGAUGGCGAAGGCAGCCCCCUGGGUCGAUACUGACGCUCAUGCACGAAAGCGUGGGGAGCAAACAGGAUUAGAUACCCUGGUAGUCCACGCCCUAAACGAUGUCAACUAGGUGUUGGGGAAGGAGACUUCUUUAGUACCGCAGCUAACGCGAUAAGUUGACCGCCUGGGGAGUACGGUCGCAAGAUUAAAACUCAAAUGAAUUGACGG
rnacentral:rRNA from 1 species